rnacentral:rRNA from 1 species
CAGGAGAGGAAGGUAGAAUUCCCGGUGUAGCGGUGAAAUGCGUAGAGAUCGGGAGGAAUACCAGUGGCGAAGGCGGCCUUCUGGACUGACACUGACACUGAGGUGCGAAAGCGUGGGUAGCAAACAGGAUUAGAUACCCUGGUAGUCCACGCCGUAAACGAUGUCGACCAGCCGUUGGGUGCCUCGCGCACUUAGUGGCGAAGUUAACGCGAUAAGUCGACCGCCUGGGGAGUACGGCCGCAAGGUUAAAACUCAAAUGAAUUGACGGGGGCCCGCACAAGCGGUGGAGCAUGUGGUUUAAUUCGAUGCAACGCGAAGAACCUUACCUACUCUUGACAUCCUGCGAACUUGUGAGAGAUCACUUGGUGCCUUCGGGAGCGCAGAGACAGGUGCUGCAUGGCUGUCGUCAGCUCGUGUUGUGAAAUGUUGGGUUAAGUCCCGUAACGAGCGCAACCCUUGUCCUUAUUUGCCAGCACGUAAUGGUGGGAACUCUAAGGAGACUGCCGGUGACAAACCGGAGGAAGGUGGGGACGACGUCAAGUCAUCAUGGCCCUUACGAGUAGGGCUACACACGUGCUACAAUGGCCGGUACAAAGGGCAGCGAGCUCGCGAGAGUCAGCGAAUCCCUUAAAGCCGGUCUCAGUCCGGAUCGGAGUCUGCAACUCGACUCCGUGAAGUCGGAAUCGCUAGUAAUCGUGCAUCAGAAUGGCACGGUGAAUACGUUCCCGGGCCUUGUACACACCGCCCGU